AAGGUAGCUCUGGGCUACAGGAUCCUUGCUGGGGGUUCGGGGAGCGCUUGGACCCCGGCUUCUGAGACGCGUCAGAAUAUUAUCCAGCAAUGCAAAUGAACAAACUAUAACUACACACAGCUGCAUGGAUAAAUGUCAGAAACAUGACGUUGAGUGUGAGAAGCCAGAUGCAAACGAGGACUCACUGUGCAAUUCUGUGCAUGUACAGUGGCCAGGAGAAGGGAGCACUGGCUUUGCUUUCAUCAGGCCAAAGAUGCCUUUCUUUGGGAAUACGUUCAGUCCGAAGAAGACACCUCCUCGGAAGUCGGCCUCUCUCUCCAACCUGCAUUCUUUGGAUCGAUCAACCCGGGAGGUGGAGCUGGGCUUGGAAUACGGAUCCCCGACUAUGAACCUGGCAGGGCAAAGCCUGAAGUUUGAAAAUGGCCAGUGGAUAGCAGGUGAGCUGCACUUCCUGCCAUUUUGUCAAACAAGAUUGUAGGAGGAAAUCCCCCUUUAACUGGUUCUGUCCUUCCUCCAGAGACAGGGGUUAGUGGCGGUGUGGACCGGAGGGAGGUUCAGCGCCUUCGCAGGCGGAACCAGCAGUU
rnacentral:sRNA from 1 species